rnacentral:rRNA from 1 species
UACGGGGGGGGCAAGCGUUGUUCGGAAUUACUGGGCGUAAAGGGCUCGUAGGUGGCCAAUUAAGUCAGACGUGAAAUCCCCAGGCUUAACCUGGGAACUGCGUCUGAUACUGGUUGGCUUGAAUUCGGGAGAGGGAUGCAGAAUUCCAGGUGUAGCGGUGAAAUGCGUAGAUAUCUGGAGGAAUACCGGUGGCGAAGGCGGCAUCCUGGACCGAGAUUGACACUGAGGAGCGAAAGCCAGGGGAGCAAACGGGG